AGGCAGCAGUAAGGAAUAUUGCACAAUGGGCGAAAGCCUGAUGCAGCAACGCCGCGUGAGGGAAGAAGGUUUUCGGAUUGUAAACCUCUGUCCAAAGGGAAGAAACAAAUGACGGUACCUUUGGAGGAAGCUCCGGCUAACUACGUGCCAGCAGCCGCGGUAAUACGUAGGGAGCGAGCGUUGUCCGGAUUUACUGGGUGUAAAGGGUGCGUAGGCGGCCGUAAGGGUCAGACGUGAAAUAUGUGGGCUUAACUCACAGCCUGCGUUUGAAACUAUAUGGCUUGAGUGAAGUAGGGGGAGGCGGAAUUCGCUGUGUAGCGGGGAAAUGCGUAGAGUUAGGGAGGAACACCAGUGGCGAAGGCGGCCUGCUGGGCUUUAACUGACGCUGAGGCACGAAAGCGUGGGUAGCAAACAGGAUUGGAUACCCUGGUAGUCCACGCUGUAAACGAUGAUUACUAGGUGUGGGGGGUCUGACCCCUUCCGUGCCGGAGUUAAUACAAUAAGUAAUCCACCUGGGGAGUACGACCGCAAGGUUGAAACUCAAAGGAAUUGACGGGG
rnacentral:rRNA from 1 species